UACGUAGGGUGCGAGCGUUGUCCGGAAUUAUUGGGCGUAAAGAGCUUGUAGGCGGUUUGUCGCGUCUGCUGUGAAAUCUCAAGGCUCAACCUUGAGCUUGCAGUGGGUACGGGCAGACUAGAGUGUGGUAGGGGAGACUGGAAUUCCUGGUGUAGUGGUGAAAUGCGUAGAGAUCAGGAGGAACACCGGUGGCGAAGGCGGCCCACUGGGCAGUCACUGACGCUGAGGCGCGAAAGCUCGGGGAGCGAACGGG
rnacentral:rRNA from 1 species